GAUGAACGCUGGCGGCGUGCCUAACACAUGCAAGUCGAACGGAGAUUUAACGCUGAUGAGGCUUCGGCGGAUUCCUGUUAAAUCUUAGUGGCGGACGGGUGAGUAACGCGUGAGCAACCUGCCUCAUACUGGGGGAUAACAGCUGGAAACGACUGUUAAUACCGCAUAAGCGCACAGUAUCGCAUGAUACAGUGUGAAAAACUCCGGUGGUAUGAGAUGGGCCCGCGUCAGAUUAGCCAGUUGGCAGGGUAACGGCCUACCAAAGCAACGAUCUGUAGCCGGCCUGAGAGGGCGGACGGCCACAUUGGGACUGAGACACGGCCCAAACUCC
rnacentral:rRNA from 1 species